rnacentral:rRNA from 1 species
CCUACGGGAGGCAGCAGUGAGGAAUAUUGGUCAAUGGGCGCAAGCCUGAACCAGCCAAGUAGCGUGAAGGAUGACUGCCCUAGGGGUUGUAAACUUCUUUUAUAGAGGAAUAAAGUGGUGUAUGUAUGCCUUUUUGUAUGUACGUUAUGAAUACGGAUCGGCUAACUCCGUGCCAGCAGCCGCGGUAAUACGGAGGAUCCGAGCGUUAUCCGGAUUUAUUGGGUUUAAAGGGAGCGUAGGUGGGUUGUUAAGUCAGUUGUGAAAGUUUGCGGCUCAACCGUAAUAUUGCAGUUGAUACUGGCAGCCUUGAGUACAGAAGAGGUAGGCGGAACUCGUGGUGUAGCGGUGAAAUGCUUAGAUAUCACGAAGAACUCCGAUUGCGAAGGCAGCUUGCUGGACUGUAACUGACGCUGAUGCUCGAAAGUGUGGGUAUCAAACAGGAUUAGAUACCCUAGUAGUC